AAGGUACAGAGGCAGAGACCUACCAGGCCUGAUAAUCCAACUUGAAAAGAAAAGCUCCACUCGUCUUGGCUUGUCACGCUUCGGCAAACCAGGAUAUGGUACCCCCUAGAACAUGAUAGAUUGAAUGUUAAUGUAAAAAACAACAU